AUUGAACGCUGGCGGCAGGCUUAACACAUGCAAGUCGAGCGGGGGAAGGUAGCUUGCUACCGGACCUAGCGGCGGACGGGUGAGUAAUGCUUAGGAAUCUGCCUAUUAGUGGGGGACAACAUCUCGAAAGGGAUGCUAAUACCGCAUACGUCCUACGGGAGAAAGCAGGGGAUCUUCGGAUCUUGCGCUAAUAGAUGAGCCUAAGUCGGAUUAGCUAGUUGGUGGGGUAAAGGCCUACCAAGGCGACGAUCUGUAGCGGGUCUGAGAGGAUGAUCCGCCACACUGGGACUGAGACACGGCCCAGACUCCUACGGGAGGCAGCAGUGGGGAAUAUUGGACAAUGGGGGGAACCCUGAUCCAGCCAUGCCGCGUGUGUGAAGAAGGCCUUAUGGUUGUAAAGCACUUUAAGCGAGGAGGAGGCUACUUUAGUUAAUACCUAGAGAUAGUGGACGUUACUCGCAGAAUAAGCACCGGCUAACUCUGUG
rnacentral:rRNA from 1 species